GGCGAGCGGAGCCGGAGGAGCC
rnacentral:miRNA from 1 species